rnacentral:rRNA from 1 species
GAUGAACGCUGGCGGCGUGCCUAAUACAUGCAAGUCGAGCGAACGGACGAGAAGCUUGCUUCUCUGACGUUAGCGGCGGACGGGUGAGUAACACGUGGAUAACCUACCUAUAAGACUGGGAUAACUUCGGGAAACCGUAGCUAAUACCGGAUAAUAUUUUGAACCGCAUGGUUCAAUAGUGAAAGACGGUCUUGCUGUCACUUAUAGAUGGAUCCGCGCUGCAUUAGCUAGUUGGUAAGGUAACGGCUUACCAAGGCAACGAUGCAUAGCCGACCUGAGAGGGUGAUCGGCCACACUGGAACUGAGACACGGUCAAGACUCCUACGGGAGGCAGCAGUAGGGAAUCUUCCGCAAUGGGCGAAAGCCUGACGGAGCAACGCCGCGUGAGUGAUGAAGGUCUUCUGAUCGUAAAACUCUGUUAUUAGGGAAGAACAAAUGUGUAAGUAACUGUGCACAUCUUGACGGUACCUAAUCAGAAAGCCACGGCUAACUACGUG